rnacentral:rRNA from 1 species
GUGGGGAAUAUUGGACAAUGGGGGCAACCCUGAUCCAGCCAUGCCGCGUGUGUGAAGAAGGCCUUUUGGUUGUAAAGCACUUUAAGCAGGGAGGAGAGGCUAAUGGUUAAUACCCAUUAGAUUAGACGUUACCUGCAGAAUAAGCACCGGCUAACUCUGUGCCAGCAGCCGCGGUAAUACAGAGGGUGCGAGCGUUAAUCGGAAUUACUGGGCGUAAAGCGAGUGUAGGUGGCUCAUUAAGUCACAUGUGAAAUCCCCGGGCUUAACCUGGGAACUGCAUGUGAUACUGGUGGUGCUAGAAUAUGUGAGAGGGAAGUAGAAUUCCAGGUGUAGCGGUGAAAUGCGUAGAGAUCUGGAGGAAUACCGAUGGCGAAGGCAGCUUCCUGGCAUAAUAUUGACACUGAGAUUCGAAAGCGUGGGUAGCAAACAGGAUUAGAAACCCUAGUAGUCC